rnacentral:rRNA from 1 species
GAUGAACGCUGGCGGCGUGCUUAACACAUGCAAGUCGAGCGAAGCACUUAAGUUUGAUUCUUCGGAUGAAGACUUUUGUGACUGAGCGGCGGACGGGUGAGUAACGCGUGGGUAACCUGCCUCAUACAGGGGGAUAACAGUUAGAAAUGGCUGCUAAUACCGCAUAAGACCACAGUACUGCAUGGUACAGUGGUAAAAACUCCGAUGGUAUGAGAUGGACCCGCGUCUGAUUAGGUAGUUGGUGAGGUAACGGCUCACCAAGCCGACGAUCAGUAGCCGACCUGAGAGGGUGACCGGCCACAUUGGGACUGAGACACGGCCCAGACUCCUACGGGAGGCAGCAGUGGGGAAUAUUGCACAAUGGGCGAAAGCCUGAUGCAGCGACGCCGCGUGAAGGAUGAAGUAUUUCGGUAUGUAAACUUCUAUCAGCAGGGAAGAAAAUGACGGUACCUGACUAAGAAGCCCCGGCUAACUACGUGCCAGCAGCCGCGGUAAUACGUAGGGGGCAAGCGUUAUCCGGAUUUACUGGGUGUAAAGGGAGCGUAGACGGCUGUGCAAGUCUGAAGUGAAAGGCAUGGGCUCAACCUGUGGACUGCUUUGGAAACUGUGCAGCUAGAGUGUCGGAGAGGUAAGUGGAAUUCCUAGUGUAGCGGUGAAAUGCGUAGAUAUUAGGAGGAACACCAGUGGCGAAGGCGGCUUACUGGACGAUGACUGACGUUGAGGCUCGAAAGCGUGGGGAGCAAACAGGAUUAGA